ensembl:snRNA
GUAUUAUAUGAAAUGAGAAAAAAAUAGCACUCCCCUUGAUAAGAAUGGAAGAGGUCUUGGUGAUCUUUAUAACACAUAUAUGAUUAAGGCAUCACCAUCUACUCUGUGAUGUCUAAUCAUGUUUUUCA